GGCAUCACGUGCCCAUGAGAUGCCAGGCUCUGCGAGCAAGAUAGACAAGAUCCCUGCUGUCGCGGGCAGACGCCAGCUGGCAAUCUUAUCAGGGAGAGAGACAACAAACAAGGAACAGAUAAAUAAUUUCAGAUGGUGGCAAUAUGAGGAAAUUAGAAAGCAUAUUGCGUCUAGACACUGAUCUGAAAGCUUCUGAGAGGAAACAAAGCCCAGGACUGGAAUGUGUCUGCCUUCACUGUCAAGACUUUGGGGCCAGGGUGCCCAAAGAACCGCAAGUGUGAGAGGGGGGGUGCACACCACUCCUGGUGCUUCCCACCCAGACGCAGACAGGAGAGGAAGCACCUGCCCUGGUGUGGUUUGGCCAGAGAGCAGAGGGGCUGCUCGUAGUCACAUGUACAACAUGAACUCAGAGAAAGGCACGUACACCGUGAUACCCAUGCUGGUGAUCGAAGAUCUACACCUGUUGGACAGGUGGACUGGAGCUACAGAACAAUUUAAAUAUAUUUACUCACCUUGGAAGGCCAGAAGAGAGAGAGGCAGAGACGUAGGAGGAGGGAGAAGCAGGCUCCAAGACGGGAGCCCGACGUGGGACUCGAUCCCGGGACUGCCAGGCAGGCACUAAACCACUGAGCCACCCAGGGAUCCCCUGCACAAGGUUUUGAUCUGGAGAUUUACUUCCUUCAACUUUGAUCAAUAUUCUUACAUGACUUCCUCGAUAAUUUCUUCCUUCCACUUUUUCGUUCCCUGUCUGCAUCUUUGUUAAUGAGAUGUGGAACUUCAUGAAUUGAUUCUCUAAGCCUGGGACAUUUUCUUCUUCAUAUUUUAAAUCUUUCUUUAAUUCUAUUUUUUCAGACAUAUUUUUGUUUACCCUCAGCCUUCUAUUGCAUUUUUUAUUUCAGACUACGAGAGAGGUUCGGUUGUAGUUUGAUCUUGCUUUUGUCUGCUCUGUGGGUGUCAGGAGAGGGUGGGACAAGGUGAAGAGACAGGCUCUGCUUAGAGCUAUUAUUAAAUUUCAAAUGCUCAACCCUAGUUCUGCUCCCCCCAUUGUUCCUGGUGUGUCAGAGCCUCUCCUGGGUCUGCAGUGCAGACUGGGUUUUGUUCGGGCUGAAGCCCCACCUCCCCCUCUUACCCCAGCUCUGGGCUGAGCCUCCUGUGUCCUGAUUCUUCUAUGACCAGACCUCUAUCCAUUUUCCGGUGUCCACAAACACAGAUCAGUCUCUUGACUGAUGUGCCAUCCCAGUUUGCUUCAUUAGGGUCCCAACAAACUUAAAAAGAAAAAAUUCCUUUGCUGUCAGGUCAAUGAAUUCUUGAAGGAGAGAAGCUCUGUCUGCUUCAUUAAUGAGAAUUUCUUUUUGUUUGUUUGUUUUUUUUUUUUUGAGAAUUUCUUUUUCACCACAUAGGGAGAUAGUGGGCCAUAAACAUCCUUUUAUUUGUACAAAUCCACCUGUUUGCUGUCAUAACGUUACUUUGAAUUAUUUUCUGCUCAGAAUUUAAAAAUAAGCUCUAAGCAUUGCCUGCGAAAUGUUUUGUUUUUCUCACGUUCUCUGCCAUAUGCCCUUCAUUUCCAGCAAGGCCGCAUUUAUGUGAAUUUAAAUCGACCCAAUAAGGAAUGUGGCAUAAAAAUAUUAAUGAAACCUCACUUUAUGAGCAAAUCUGAAACAUUCAAAUGUCGCCAAAUUGAAGCAAUUUUUUUUUUGCUUUUGAUAAUGAAUUAGUGUUUGGGUGGAGAAGCCUUCCAAGGCUCAUUGGUCAAGUGAAUGAUUAAAGGUGCGCAGACAGUCUUGCCACACGGUGGCGCCACUUCAGGAGGUUUCUCCUGGGACAGUAGGAGUCUCCAUGUUCAUGGGCACUGGGACUUGGACUUGUGAUUUUAGUGUAAUUAAAAAAAAAACAAAAAACUUUCUUACAUCUCAAGUAACUUUUAACUAAGCAUUAUGCAUUAGUACUAAUUCAA